rnacentral:lncRNA from 1 species
UUGGAAUUUCCCCUCGCAGCUUUCCCCUUGGAGCUUCUUACAGCUUCUCCUCAGAGCUUCCACCUUGGAACCUCUUCCUCAGAGUUUCCCCUUCAGAAUUUCCCCUCACAGCUUCUCCUCAGAGCUUCCCCUCACAUCUUUCCCCUCAGAGCUUCUCCUCAGAGCUUCCCCCUUGAAACUGCAUCCUCAGAGCUUCCCCGCAGAAUUUCCCCUCACAGCUUUCCCCUUGGAACUUCCCCUCAGAGCCUUCCCCUCAGAGCUUCCACCUUGGAAUCUCCUCCCCAGAGCUUCCACCUCAGAACCUCCACCUCAGAACUUCCCCCCCUCAGAGCUUCCACCUUGGAGCUUCCCCUCACAGUUUCCACCUUGGAACAUCCACCUCAGAGCUCUCCCCUCAGAGCUUUCCCCUCAGAGCUUCCAUCUUAGAGCUUCCCCCUCACAGUUUCCACCUUGGAGCUUCUCCUCACAGCUUCCAUCUUGGAACCUCCACCUCAGAACUUCCCCCCUCACAGCUUCCAUCUUGGAACCUCCACCUCAGAGCUUUCCCCUCAGAGCUUCCACCUUGGAGCUUCCAUCUUGGAGCUCCCCCUCAGAGCUUCCAUCUUAGAACCUCCACCUCAGAACUUCCCCCAUCAGAGCUUCCACCUUGGAGCUUCCCCUCAUGGUUUCCACCUCGGAGCCUUCCCCUCACAGUUUCCACCUCGGAGCUUCCCCUCGGAGCUCCCACCCUCAGGAUCCGAGGACCCCAGCAGGAUCCCUGCUGCCUCUUACUUUCCCUGGAAUCCGUAGUAGUUGCCCAGGAUCUGCUUGUACUCCUCGUGGGCGCAGAACUGGAUGGCGGCGUAGGGGAUCACCCGCACCAUGGUGGCGGAAUUCCCUCUCCAGAGGCUCCAGAAGCCCUCGUUGAGGUAGGUGUGAUAGAUCAGCCUGUAGGCUUCCUGUGGGACAAACCAGCGCCAGGGAGCAGCGUCAGGGAGAGAGGGAACGCGGGGCAGGAGCUGGCCCCACGGCCAAACCCUUCCCACCGAGCUGUCAUGGCCACCCCGGC